GUUCUCAGGGUGUGCCUAAAGUUGCAACAACUUUUCUUCACCCCAUAUUGCAAGAUGUAUUGCUGGCAGUUGGAGUAAAACAGAGACUCGUUCACUCGGGUGCACGGAAAGCAAAGUUGAUAAAUUGGCUCUAGGUACCAAAUUACACAUAAAUUAAGUUUGAAGUUCUGCAGUCUGAGUUUGGCAGCUCAAAGUGGUGAUGGGAGUUAUGAAAAAGGAUACCUCACAUGUGCAUCUGUGGAAAGGCAAUCUUUGUUUCUAGCAGGUAAACUGUAAACAGGUAAACUGAAAACUUUUGAAUUGCAGUGCUAACAAAUAUCUUUUCUAAACAGGAAACUUCUUCAUUAAAUUGGUCUUAUACCUAAUAUUUCAUGGGUGUUGAAUUUUCUACUAGGUUAAGAAGAUGGUCUGGAUUUUGAAUUUCAGGCAUUCUCCUGAUUGUGCGAAUUAAAAGUUUAGGGAAUUGGAAAGAAGAGUUCAAUACUGACCCUUGUUGAUGUUAGCUGCUCUGAAAUGUCCUUGAAGAGGAUAAAUUUGUUCUUCACUACAUAAAAGAUUUUGAUAUCUCAAGGAAGCUAAAGAGAGAGAAAAAGAUACAAACAAAAUUAAGCUAUCAAUGGUACAGAAGGUUUUGAAUUAACCAUCGUACCUCUAGUGUCUCUUUCUUGGGUGCAGAAAUUUCUGCUGGAAUGGAGAAAGAAAAGUUUGCAUAAGAACCUGUCACAAAGACAAAUGGGCUUAAGAGGUAUAAGACCCAAAGUCAGUUCUGUUAAUACUUGGACUGUUUGGCAUAAAAUACAUCUUGGUAUCUCAUUUAAACAUCCCUCUGGAAAAAAAAAAGCUGUGGAAAUCAGAAGUGAUUGA
rnacentral:lncRNA from 1 species